AUGACUGCUGCAAAACGUAUAGUAAUAUAUGUGAAUAAUACAUUGAGCAUUGGCCUAAAUUUCAGCAAGUCAUCCUCUGCACUUGUUAGUGCCUUUUCUGACUCAGACUCGGCUGGGUGUCUAGAUGACAGACGCUCAACUGGUGGUUUUGCGGUAUUCUUUGGACCCAAUUUGAUAUCUUGGAGUGCAAGAAAGCAAGCCACAGUUUCAAGAUCCAGUACAGAGGCAGAAUACAAAGCAUUGGCAAAUGCAACAGCAGAGACCAUAUGGGUGCAAUCAAUUUUAAAGGAACUAGGUAUAAAAAGCACUAGAGCUCCAUGUUUGUGGUGUGAUAAUCUAGGUGCUACCUAUUUGUCAGCAAAUCCAGUCUUUCAUGCUAGGACCAAGCACAUUGAAAUAGAUUUUCACUUUGUUCGAGAAAGAGUUGCACAUAAGCUUUUGGAUAUUCGGUUUAUUCAUUCUCAAGACCAAGUUGCUGAUGGCUUUACCAAAGCUGCCCACAAGAAGUUUUGA
rnacentral:rRNA from 1 species